CUCUCAGCCCAGCUGCAGCCUAAUGGAGUCCGGGCCGGGACGUCACAGGAAAUUCCUAUACUGCCCCCUACACACACUUCCGCCGCCUGGGGCUGGGGGUGGGGUGCGGGCGCUAUAGGGGCAGGGGGGUACGGCCGCCUCCCGGGCCGCUGCUGGCCGGCGGCGGGGUGGGGGGUCGGGGGCGCGGCUGGAGACGUCCGGCCCGGCCCGGGGGUACCGCCUGGCACCGCCUGGUGCACGUAGGGCCCGGGGCUGGGAGGUGUGAAGGUGUGUGCCGGGGGCGCCUCGCUGGGAGCUGGUCGUCCCCAGGGUGUGGGGGGGGGGGGCUUACGGAAAUUUCCUGAAGCAAUCAGGAGGGGUUUUGGGGUUGUUUUCGUUUGGUUGGUUUUAAAAAGGAGAAAUACCCGGCGACGUAGCGGCCUCUCGUUGCCAAGGUUGGUCACUGGUAGGGCCCGGACCCGGGCAUGGCUUCUGCAGUCGUGAUGUGUGUUAGCACCAAAGAGGGAGAACAUGGUGUUUCUGUACGGGAUCUGACAUUUUACGGAAGAAAAUCCUUCUGCAUCUCCCUAGCUUCUGUGGCCAGUAGCAGAGUGCAGAAAAGGAGACUAGGAGACUGCCCAUCCUGGUGGACAAAGGAAGUUCAGCACGGGAAUUUCAACACCUACAGGGCUGCAUUAUCAGUGUACCCAGCAGGUAUAUGCUCUCUGUGUGUCACUGCACCUCCUAUUUAAUAGCACUUCUUCCGAAUGCCACAUCUGAGAGUGGAGCAUGUCCUGCUGUAUCCACACGGCGCUGAGAGGCAUGAUGGGGAUUAGUUCCAGCUGGAAGGGGG